rnacentral:lncRNA from 1 species
UUCUCCAGAUGGUCAAUCAUGCGCUGAAGCUCCUCAGUCAUAUGUUGGGCCUCCUCAGUCUUUUCCCGGUCUGCUUCUUCCAGUCGCGUUAUCAAGUUCUUACAAUCAUCCAGCGACUGGGAAAGCUUCUUAUUCUCUUCAUCUCCUUCGUUCAACCGUCGAGUAAAUAUGUCAUUCUGUCGCGGGUGAUGUCGACAAUCAUCGACUCUUUAAUGGAGACCCUGGCACGUUGAGCUGCUAGUUCCAUCUCUACAGCCCCCAACUCCCCAUUGACUUUGGAGAGUUCCUGCUCCUUAUCUCUCAAGAGAUUCUUUUGAGCAGCCCAGUCCUCAGCCAAUUUCUUGUUGGUAGCAGACAGAGUGGAGGCGUCUGAAGCUUUUUGC